rnacentral:miRNA from 1 species
AAAGCCUAAUGCCCAGAAAGCG